rnacentral:rRNA from 1 species
GAUGAACGCUGGCGGCGUGCCUAAUACAUGCAAGUCGAGCGAACAGACGAGGAGCUUGCUCCUCUGACGUUAGCGGCGGACGGGUGAGUAACACGUGGAUAACCUACCUAUAAGACUGGGAUAACUUCGGGAAACCGGAGCUAAUACCGGAUAAUCUAUUGAACCGCAUGGUUCAAUAGUGAAAGACGGUUUUGCUGUCACUUAUAGAUGGAUCCGCGCCGCAUUAGCUAGUUGGUAAGGUAACGGCUUACCGAGGCAACGAUGCGUAGCCGACCUGAGAGGGUGAUCGGCCACACUGGAACUGAGACACGGUCCAGACUCCUACGGGAGGCAGCAGUAGGGAAUCUUCCGCAAUGGGCGAAAGCCUGACGGAGCAACGCCGCGUGAGUGAUGAAGGUCUUCGGAUCGUAAAACUCUGUUAUUAGGGAAGAACAAAUGUGUAAGUAACUAUGCACGUCUUGACGGUACCUAAUCAGAAAGCCACGGCUAACUACGUG